GAUGAACGCUGGCGGCGUGCCUAAUACAUGCAAGUCGAGCGAACAGACGAGGAGCUUGCUCCUCUGACGUUAGCGGCGGACGGGUGAGUAACACGUGGAUAACCUACCUAUAAGACUGGGAUCACUUCGGGACACCGGAUCUAAUACCGUAUAAUAUAUUGAACCGCAUGGUUCAAUAGUGAAAGACGGUUUUGCUGUCACUUAUAGAUGGAUCCGCGCCGCAUUAGCUAGUUGGUAAGGUAACGGCUUACCAAGGCAACGAUGCGUAGCCGACCGGAGAGGGUGAUCGGCCACACUGGAACGGGGACACGGUCCAGAGUCCUACGGGAGGCAGCAGUAGGGAAUCUUCCGCAAUGGGCGAAAGCAUGACGGAGCAACGCCGCGUGAGUGAUGAAGGUCUUCGGAGCGUAAAACUCUGUUAUUAGGGAAGAACAAAUGUGUAAGUAACUAUGCACGUCUUGACGGUAACUAAUCAGAAAGCCACGGCUAACUACGUG
rnacentral:rRNA from 1 species